rnacentral:rRNA from 1 species
CAGCAGCCGCGGUAAAACGAAGGGUGCAAGCGUUAAUCGGAAUUACUGGGCGUAAAGCGUGCGUAGGCGGUUUGUUAAGUCUGUUGUGAAAUCCCCGGGCUCAACCUGGGAAUGGCAAUGGAUACUGGCAAGCUAGAGUGUGUCAGAGGAUGGUGGAAUUCCCGGUGUAGCGGUGAAAUGCGUAGAGAUCGGGAGGAACAUCAGUGGCGAAGGCGGCCAUCUGGGCCAAUACUGACGCUCAUGCACGAAAGCGUGGGGAGCAAACAGGAUUAGAUACCCGCGUAGUCCCUGUCUCUUAUAC